UUUUUAUAAUUUCUAGCUCGCUAGUGCGUGCGUGUCUCUCUGUCGCUCCUCUUCUUUGGUCUCGCGCCGCUAAAAUAAUUCUUUAUUUCCGACGGCCGCUCCGCACCCGCGCCCCACUUUUCGCGCUCCGCUAUCUCUCUCUAGUGCUCCACCCAAAAGAGGAGGCGGGUUAGGUAGGGUGUUGGGAGAGCUCCAUGCCACCUCGAGUAGUAGUCGUCGAUUGAUUUGAUUUCCCUUCUUCCGUUCCGAAGAAAGAGAGAACCUAGCGCCCCAGUGCCCUCCGCGCGCGCGCCCUCGAACGAGCCAACGAAACGAGGCGCCGCGGCCGCCACCCCCUUCCCUUCCCGUCCCUUCCCCUCCCCUACCUGGCCCGCCGCGACUGCCACCCCGGCCCGUACCUGUACGGGUAUUACGUGCUGCCGCUGGCGAUGCUCGAGCAGUUCCUGUAGCCGAGGCCGUUGAAGCCGCAGCGCGCGGAGUACGCGUUGGCGCGGCUGCCGGUCGAGCAGCGGCAGUUCAUGUAGCUCGCUCCCCUCUUCUAACUGCUCUUGCACGUCGCCCUCUAGUAGUUGGUGUCCAGCGACGCGGUGGGGUUGUAGUAGGCGAAGUUCCUCCAGUAGGAGUGGGGCUGCGUGGAGCGGUAGCAGUACCUCAUGCGGAGGCCGCCCCUCGAGAAGCUCGCGUAGACGUUGCGGCCGUCCAAGUCGCUCCUGCUCCGCGCAAAGAAGAAGGUCGUCGACGAGAGUCCUCAGUCGAUGACGGUGAGGUACGUUCAUACGGUAGCACUGAACUUCGACCUCUUGUGGGACGACCUGCCCUCGUGCCGAGGAGCGGAGUUCUAUACGCUGAAACCGAUAAGGUUCAGCAGCCAAGAAGUAAGCGUCGGUUUUAGAUGGCAACCUUGUGGCCGUAUGUAACGAGGCCUCCAAGAAGACUUCUUCCUUAUACUACCUUUCUAACGCCUACACACCAGGACACCUCACUGUGAAAUACAAUACGAUCAACCACGUAUAGGGAAACUCCUAGGACUACUCGGGUUUUUAAAAUCCUUCUGUUAAGUCUCCUAUAACUCACACGUCAUGAGCUAAGGGCUAAUGCACGUGUAUAGAAGGCUCACAGCUCUAGAAUAGCGGUUCUAAAAGCAACCGUUGGGUCGAUGGUCUUAGUGUUAGGGCCUCUAUUCUUUGGUAGGCACCAAGAACUUCUUGGAGGGUCGACUGGAUCACCUGCUGUCGUGGUACUCGUCGGUCAUACUCCUCGGACUUGUCGGCUACGUCUCGUACCUGCUCUAGUACGUCUAGGACCGCCUCCGGUGGUAGGGCCGGCGACCAAGGGCCUAGUUGGUCAAGAACUUGCUGCCAGACCUGGAACUGCUGCUGUACCUGCUGGAACUAAGUCUGCGGCUGGAGCUGCAGCUUUCGUCGCCCCUCUAUCACAUACGAUACACUGUCACGUUUUGGAGAGUUGAGUCUUCCCUAUCCCAUGGCGCCACGAACUAUCGGGCGGGUGUUUACAAUGAAACAACAUCAACCAGAGACGUGAAGGUUACAACAUCAUGUUGCCAAACCGGAAAACCUACACUGGAACACAACGAAGUUACGACACAACCGAUAGAGACGACUAAACUCUUGACCAUCUAGUAGACAUUGGGCACAGCAGUGUAGUACAAACAUGGUACAUAUACACAACAUCCGUUUAUUCUCUGUGAUGUCAAACUAGUCAAGGUAAAGCUGGAAAGUCAAGUCUACUCAAACACACAAAGACGUAACACCAAGAACGAUACUAAGUCACACAGGUAAAUGCACGUCCCAAGGUC
rnacentral:rRNA from 1 species